AUGAGCACUUUAUCCCUACUUUACUACUCAGAACUGCAUGUGGAUUCAGCUCAGCUGGGUGCCCAAACUUUCUGGGAUUGGUAUCUGGAUACCAAUGAUUUACAGAAGCCAACACUUGAAGAUGCACAAGGAUUAAGAGAUUGGCUGCAAUUUCACUAUAAGAAAUGCCCAAGGAAUCUCAAGACAAGACACUUAUCAUCCCAAUGGCAGUCAAACUCAAACAGAAACUCAGUUGAAAAAUACAUGGAUCUGCUUUUGUCAUUCUCACAUCACAAAUAUCAUUAAAUCACAGAAGACUGGA
rnacentral:lncRNA from 1 species